GGCGCCGUGGCUUAGUUGGCUAAAGCGCCUGUCUAGUAAACAGGAGAUCACGAGUUCGAAUCUCGUCGGUGCCU